ACCAAACUAGAUGACAUCUCGGUGAUCAAUCCUCUUCGAUGAAUGAGUUGUAUUUGAGAGAAAAGGAGUCUAAUUUCAUCAGGACAGUAUGGUGUAGUUGAAGACGGUGGAAGUACUUGUUCAUAAAGGAAGCGAUAGUCUAUGACUCUGUCACCAAGAGCUAGAUUUGGUGUUUGACUGCCAUGGUGUUGCAACUGUGGUUAUGAAGACUGAAUUAUGAAAUGAUUUUGAAUGCAAUAGUAUUGUAUUGUUGAUAUGUUAAAAUGGAGAUGGUAUGAAAGCAUCUUCGGAUAUUGUGAAUAAAAUCAAUCUUAAAUUCAUGUGGUGGCACUGCAAAAUUCUAUUUCAAAUAUUC